rnacentral:rRNA from 1 species
GACGAACGCUGGCGGCGUGCCUAACACAUGCAAGUCGAACGAGGCCGUCGGGUACUGGGGCGAACGGGUGCGUAAGGGGAGGGGAGAGUAACGCGGGUGCAAACUACCUCCCAGAGGGGGACGACAAUAGGGGACGAUGGCUAAGACCGCAUGAUUUCUCGCCUUUGGAUGGGCCCGCGUUGGAAUAGCUAGUUGGUAGGGUAAAGGCCUACCAAGGCGACGCUACAUAGCUGGUCUGAGAGGAUGACCCGCCACCCUGGGACUGGGACCCGGCCCAGACGCCUACGGGAGGCAGCAGUGGGGAAUAUUGGACGAUGGGCGAAAGCCUGAUCCAGCCGUGCCGCGUGAGUGAUGAAGGCCUUAGGGUUGUAAAGCUCUUUUACCCGGGAUGAUAAUGACAGUACCGGGAGAAUAAGCUCCGGCUAACUCCGUG